GCUCACCGCCUCUCCCAGGAGCUUCUACAUCCACUUUCUUCCUUUCCCAGACUGAUUCUCAAUGCUUUUAUCGGGUCUCUCUCUCUCUCACACACUCUCUCUCUCUAGCUUUGUUACCGGUGCAGAAGAACCCGACAGAGCAUCAUAUGUGAUUCAAUCGGCGUUGAGGUUGCUUCUGGCUCCUUUUUUUAGAUGACGACCGAUGCUUUCCUUCGUUGUCGGCACCCAUAAGGAAUUUUGAACAUUCAAAACCUUCACGACGAAGAACAAUCGAAAUCAUCUCCAGUUCACUCGCUUAGAUACGUGUCUACCUUCUGUAUUCCAAAGCGAUACGUGUCCGAUGCUUCGUUUUUCCACCGACACUCUAUCCAUUUUUUCUUAUCUGCUCUGUAUUCCAAGGUUGGAGAGUCCUUCGACUUCUCUGGAAGAGAGUCCUUCGUUUUUCAAUUUACUGGCUCCGCCCGAUUCCUCCUGUUGGUGAAGAACGCCUCCGAAAUAAUUAAAGCAUCGCUCUAUCUUCCUCACCGCCAUCUGUGGUCAAAGGCUUGAAAUUUUGGAGGUACUUCACAGUGGAAAAAAGCUCACGACUUGCUUUUUGGAGGUCUCAAACAUAUAUUUCUUCCACCACUCCCAUUGAUUUUGCUCCAGGUGUGACCCUUCUUCUCUUAUUCUGUGUGUUGUCAAUAGGUCAAUAUUCCCUUCCAGUUGUUAAUGCCAAUUGAUUAGUCGAAGACCAAAGCCAAGUGUUAACUUCGCCAUCUACAACUUAUUCAAGUUAACUGAGUAAUGGAAAUUCAACCUGCACUUUCCAGUAGAAAGCUUCUCAGCUAAAGUAUCUGCAACUCGAUUGGCAUAUUUUGGUGGAGACUAUUUGCGUGGUGUUGUUGGGUUAUAAUCUAUCACUAGGAAUACUUUUGAAGAUCUGCUACUCAUAAAUAGGUAGGGAAGGUGAAAGCAAUGGCAGAUCUGCAUCAAAGGAGAGCAUCUGCAUCAAAGGAGAGCAGAAAUGGCAAAUUAUUCUUAUCCUUUUAUUGCUUUAUCAGGUUAGUAUAAGACCUGCAAUAUGUUUCUUUCAUAUUCUUCACUAAAAUCUCAGAAGCACCAUUUACCUCAUUAAAUAAAAGAGAUGGCAGGUGCAUUUUACUUAUUUGUCUUAUUAACGUUUUCUUCUAUUUUAUCUCUCCAAUGCUUCUUCUUUCAACCACUCAAUCUCUAUGGAGGCUCGACACAAUCAUUUAGGUCAUCGGUACUUCUUCCCCACUUCGUCGCUUCGAAAGAAAUGGGAGAGAGUGAGAUCGGUACAACAGCCCCAAGGGGUAGGUGUGCUUGGGUCGUUUCUUUGAGUUGACAGAGGUGUUUGGAUUGUUGUUCAAAUCAAUAGGGACAGUGGAGGAAAAAGAAAGAGGCUGGGCAGGUUCAUGAAUGGGGUCUUCUGGGUUAUCCAGCAAGUAUACAUGUAUUUCCGAGGCAGUUGGCAGGCUGUUGAGUUAUGUCACACCCCCGAACCAGACGGCGGAAACGUCCGAGGGCUGUUGUGACUCAAUUGAAUACCAUUACAUUAAAUAUACAUGAAACAUAACAUCAUUCAUCACCAUGCAUUGAGAUAGUAUAACUGGUAGAGUUUACAUUUAGUACAUUGUUUUAAACAUUACAUCCCCAAAAAUAAAUUGUUCGAUAAUAGUUAAACAAA